CCUACGGGAGGCAGCAGUGGGGAAUCUUGCACAAUGGAGGAAACUCUGAUGCAGCGAUGCCGCGUGAGUGAAGAAGGCCUUUGGGUUGUAAAGCUCUUUUGUAGGGGAAGAUAAUGACUGUACCCUAAGAAUAAGGUCCGGCUAACUUCGUGCCAGCAGCCGCGGUAAUACGAAGGGACCUAGCGUAGUUCGGAAUUACUGGGCGUAAAGCGCGCGUAGGCCGUUGAGUUAGUUAAUUGUGAAAUCCCAAAGCUUAACUUUGGAACUGCAAUUAAAACUGCUCGACUAGAGUUUGAUAGAGGAAAGCGGAAUACAUAGUGUAGAGGUGAAAUUCGUAGAUAUUAUGUAGAACACCAGUUGCGAAGGCGGCUUUCUGGAUCAACACUGACGCUGAGGCGCGAAAGUAUGGGUAGCAAAGAGGAUUAGAUACCCUCGUAGUCCAUACCAUAAACGAUGAUUGCUAGAUGUUGGAAAUUUAUUUUCAGUAUCGCAGCUAACGCAUUAAGCAAUCCGCCUGGGGAGUACGACCGCAAGGUUAAAACNCAAAGGAAUUGAACGGNUGNGAGUGCGAGACGCACGAGGAGAGG
rnacentral:rRNA from 1 species